GUGAAUCAUCAAAUUUUUGAACGCAAAUUGCACUCUCUGGUAUUCCGGAGAGUAUGCCUGUUUGAGAGUCAGUUAAAAUAAAAAUCGGUGUGGUGGCGGCCUUUCGUGGUGAUGCACAGGGUUGGGGUCGUCUUGCCUUCUGUUAAGUGACCUAUAGUUUUACAUGAUUUGUUUCGAACGUAUUUAAAUGAUAUUACGUACGAUUUCGAUAUCGGAUACAAGGUGGAGUCA
rnacentral:misc_RNA from 1 species